rnacentral:rRNA from 1 species
UACGAAGGGGGCUAGCGCUGCUCGGAAUCACUGGGCGUAAAGGGUGCGUAGGCGGGUCUUUAAGUCAGGGGUGAAAUCCUGGAGCUCAACUCCAGAACUGCCUUUGAUACUGAAGAUCUUGAGUUCGGGAGAGGUGAGUGGAACUGCGAGUGUAGAGGUGAAAUUCGUAGAUAUUCGCAAGAACACCAGUGGCGAAGGCGGCUCACUGGCCCGAUACUGACGCUGAGGCACGAAAGCGUGGGGAGCAGACAGG